rnacentral:rRNA from 1 species
GGUUAAGCGACUAAGCGUACACGGUGGAUGCCCUGGCAGUCAGAGGCGAUGAAGGGCGUGCUAAUCUGCGAUAAGCGCCGGUAAGGUGAUAUGAACCGUUAUAACCGGCGAUACCCGAAUGGGGAAACCCAGUGUGAUUCGUCACACUAUCAUUAACUGAAUCCAUAGGUUAAUGAGGCGAACCGGGGGAACUGAAACAUCUAAGUACCCCGAGGAAAAGAAAUCAACCGAGAUUCCCCCAGUAGCGGCGAGCGAACGGGGAGGAGCCCAGAGCCUGAAUCAGCAUGUGUGUUAGUGGAAGCGUCUGGAAAGGCGCGCGAUACAGGGUGACAGCCCCGUACACAAAAGCGCAUGUGCUGUGAGCUCGAUGAGUAGGGCGGGACACGUGGUAUCCUGUCUGAAUAUGGGGGGACCAUCCUCCAAGGCUAAAUACUCCUGACUGACCGAUAGUGAACCAGUACCGUGAGGGAAAGGCGAAAAGAACCCCGGCGAGGGGAGUGAAAAAGAACCUGAAACCGUGUACGUACAAGCAGUGGGAGCACAGGUUUACCUGUGUGACUGCGUACCUUUUGUAUAAUGGGUCAGCGACUUAUAUUCUGUAGCAAGGUUAACCGAAUAGGGGAGCCGGAGGGAAACCGAGUCUUAACCGGGCGUUAAGUUGCAGGGUAUAGACCCGAAACCCGGUGAUCUAGCCAUGGGCAGGUUGAAGGUUGGGUAACACUAACUGGAGGACCGAACCGACUAAUGUUGAAAAAUUAGCGGAUGACCUGUGGCUGGGGGUGAAAGGCCAAUCAAACCGGGAGAUAGCUGGUUCUCCCCGAAAGCUAUUUAGGUAGCGCCUCGUGAAUUCAUCUCCGGGGGUAGAGCACUGUUUCGGCUAGGGGGCCAUCCCGGCUUACCAACCCGAUGCAAACUGCGAAUACCGGAGAAUGUUAUCACGGGAGACACACGGCGGGUGCUAACGUCCGUCGUGAAGAGGGAAACAACCCAGACCGCCAGCUAAGGUCCCAAAGUCAUGGUUAAGUGGGAAACGAUGUGGGAAGGCCCAGACAGCCAGGAUGUUGGCUUAGAAGCAGCCAUCAUUUAAAGAAAGCGUAAUAGCUCACUGGUCGAGUCGGCCUGCGCGGAAGAUGUAACGGGGCUAAACCAUGCACCGAAGCUGCGGCAGCGACACUGUGUGUUGUUGGGUAGGGGAGCGUUCUGUAAGCCUGUGAAGGUGUGUCGUGAGGCAUGCUGGAGGUAUCAGAAGUGCGAAUGCUGACAUAAGUAACGAUAAAGCGGGUGAAAAGCCCGCUCGCCGGAAGACCAAGGGUUCCUGUCCAACGUUAAUCGGGGCAGGGUGAGUCGACCCCUAAGGCGAGGCCGAAAGGCGUAGUCGAUGGGAAACGGGUUAAUAUUCCCGUACUUGGUGUUACUGCGAAGGGGGGACGGAGAAGGCUAUGUUGGCCGGGCGACGGUUGUCCCGGUUUAAGCGUGUAGGUGUGUGUUCCAGGUAAAUCCGGUUCACUUUAACACUGAGGCGUGACGACGAGGCACUACGGUGCUGAAGCAACAAAUGCCCUGCUUCCAGGAAAAGCCUCUAAGCAUCAGGUAACAUCAAAUCGUACCCCAAACCGACACAGGUGGUCAGGUAGAGAAUACCAAGGCGCUUGAGAGAACUCGGGUGAAGGAACUAGGCAAAAUGGUGCCGUAACUUCGGGAGAAGGCACGCUGACACGUAGGUGAAGUGAUUUACUCAUGGAGCUGAAGUCAGUCGAAGAUACCAGCUGGCUGCAACUGUUUAUUAAAAACACAGCACUGUGCAAACACGAAAGUGGACGUAUACGGUGUGACGCCUGCCCGGUGCCGGAAGGUUAAUUGAUGGGGUCAGCGCAAGCGAAGCUCCUGAUCGAAGCCCCGGUAAACGGCGGCCGUAACUAUAACGGUCCUAAGGUAGCGAAAUUCCUUGUCGGGUAAGUUCCGACCUGCACGAAUGGCGUAAUGAUGGCCAGGCUGUCUCCACCCGAGACUCAGUGAAAUUGAACUCGCUGUGAAGAUGCAGUGUACCCGCGGCAAGACGGAAAGACCCCGUGAACCUUUACUAUAGCUUGACACUGAACAUUGAGCCUUGAUGUGUAGGAUAGGUGGGAGGCUUUGAAGUGUGGACGCCAGUCUGCAUGGAGCCGACCUUGAAAUACCACCCUUUAAUGUUUGAUGUUCUAACGUGGACCCGUUACCCGGGUUGCGGACAGUGUCUGGUGGGUAGUUUGACUGGGGCGGUCUCCUCCUAAAGAGUAACGGAGGAGCACGAAGGUUGGCUAAUCCUGGUCGGACAUCAGGAGGUUAGUGCAAUGGCAUAAGCCAGCUUGACUGCGAGCGUGACGGCGCGAGCAGGUGCGAAAGCAGGUCAUAGUGAUCCGGUGGUUCUGAAUGGAAGGGCCAUCGCUCAACGGAUAAAAGGUACUCCGGGGAUAACAGGCUGAUACCGCCCAAGAGUUCAUAUCGACGGCGGUGUUUGGCACCUCGAUGUCGGCUCAUCACAUCCUGGGGCUGAAGUAGGUCCCAAGGGUAUGGCUGUUCGCCAUUUAAAGUGGUACGCGAGCUGGGUUUAGAACGUCGUGAGACAGUUCGGUCCCUAUCUGCCGUGGGCGCUGGAGAACUGAGGGGGGCUGCUCCUAGUACGAGAGGACCGGAGUGGACGCAUCACUGGUGUUCGGGUUGUCAUGCCAAUGGCACUGCCCGGUAGCUAAAUGCGGAAGAGAUAAGUGCUGAAAGCAUCUAAGCACGAAACUUGCCCCGA